ACGGAAGGCAGCAGUAGGGAAUAUUGCACAAUGGGGGAAACCCUGAUGCAGCAACGCCACGUGUGGGAAGAAGCAUUUCGGUGUGUAAACCACUGUCGUGAAGGGAUAAGGCUUAUUUUCGGAUAAGUUGAAUGUACUUUGAAAGGAAGCACCGGCAAACUUCGUGCCAGCAGCCGCGGUAAUACGAGGGGUGCAAGCGUUGUUCGGAAUCACUGGGCGUAAAGGGAGCGCAGGCGGAGAUGCAAGCAGUCUGUACAAUACCGGGCCCAACCCCGGACCUGCAGACUGGACUGUUUCUCUUGGAUAGCUCAGGGGCUGGCGGAAUUCCUGGUGUAGCGGUGGAAUGCGUAGAGAUCAGGAAGAACACCGAUGGCGAAGGCAGCCAGCUGGGGGCUUAUCGACGCUCAUGCUCGAAAGUGCGGGUAGCAAACAGGAUUAGAUACCCUGGUA
rnacentral:rRNA from 1 species